rnacentral:rRNA from 1 species
UGGGGAAUAUUGGACAAUGGGGGCAACCCUGAUCCAGCCAUGCCGCGUGAGUGAUGAAGGCCUUCGGGUUGUAAAGCUCUUUUGGCGGGGACGAUGAUGACGGUACCCGCAGAAUAAGCCCCGGCUAACUUCGUGCCAGCAGCCGCGGUAAGACGAAGGGGGCUAGCGUUGUUCGGAAUUACUGGGCGUAAAGCGAGUGUAGGCGGUUGCCGUAGUCAGGUGUGAAAGCCUUGAGCUCAACUCAAGAAAUGCACUUGAUACUGGGUGACUAGAGGACCGGAGAGGAUAGUGGAAUUCCCAGUGUAGUGGUGAAAUACGUAGAGAUUGGGAAGAACACCAGUGGCGAAGGCGGCUAUCUGGACGGUUACUGACGCUAAGACUCGAAAGCGUGGGGAGCAAACAGGAUUAGAUACCCUGGUAGUCCACGCCGUAAACGAUGGGUGCUAGACGUUGGCGAGCUUGCUCGUCAGUGUCGCAGCUAACGCGUUAAGCACCCCGCCUGGGGAGUACGGCCGCAAGGUUGAAANUCAAAU